rnacentral:rRNA from 1 species
CCUACGGGGAGCUGCAGUGGGGAAUAUUGGACAAUGGGCGAAAGCCUGAUCCAGCCAUGCCGCGUGUGUGAAGAAGGCCUUCGGGUUGUAAAGCACUUUCAGUGGGGAAGAAAGCCUUGGGGCUAAUACCCUCGAGGAAGGACAUCACCCACAGAAGAAGCACCGGCUAACUCCGUGCCAGCAGCCGCGGUAAUACGGAGGGUGCGAGCGUUAAUCGGAAUUACUGGGCGCAAAGCGCGCGUAGGCGGUCUGAUAAGCCGGUUGUGAAAGCCCCGGGCUCAACCUGGGAACGGCAUCCGGAACUGUCAGGCUAGAGUGCAGGAGAGGAAGGUAGAAUUCCCGGUGUAGCGGUGAAAUGCGUAGAGAUCGGGAGGAAUACCAGUGGCGAAGGCGGCCUUCUGGACUGACACUGACGCUGAGGUGCGAAAGCGUGGGUAGCAAACAGGAUUAGAUACCCCAGUAGUC